rnacentral:rRNA from 1 species
UUAAGCGACUAAGCGUACACGGUGGAUGCCCUGGCAGUCAGAGGCGAUGAAGGACGUGCUAAUCUGCGAUAAGCGUCGGUAAGGUGAUAUGAACCGUUAUAACCGGCGAUUUCCGAAUGGGGAAACCCAGUGUGAUUCGUCACACUAUCAUUAACUGAAUCCAUAGGUUAAUGAGGCGAACCGGGGGAACUGAAACAUCUAAGUACCCCGAGGAAAAGAAAUCAACCGAGAUUCCCCCAGUAGCGGCGAGCGAACGGGGAGCAGCCCAGAGCCUGAAUCAGUGUGUGUGUUAGUGGAAGCGUCUGGAAAGGCGCGCGAUACAGGGUGACAGCCCCGUACACAAAAAUGCACAUGCUGUGAGCUCGAUGAGUAGGGCGGGACACGUGGUAUCCUGUCUGAAUAUGGGGGGACCAUCCUCCAAGGCUAAAUACUCCUGACUGACCGAUAGUGAACCAGUACCGUGAGGGAAAGGCGAAAAGAACCCCGGCGAGGGGAGUGAAAAAGAACCUGAAACCGUGUACGUACAAGCAGUGGGAGCACAGAGCAAUCUGUGUGACUGCGUACCUUUUGUAUAAUGGGUCAGCGACUUAUAUUCUGUAGCAAGGUUAACCGAAUAGGGGAGCCGAAGGGAAACCGAGUCUUAACUGGGCGUUAAGUUGCAGGGUAUAGACCCGAAACCCGGUGAUCUAGCCAUGGGCAGGUUGAAGGUUGGGUAACACUAACUGGAGGACCGAACCGACUAAUGUUGAAAAAUUAGCGGAUGACUUGUGGCUGGGGGUGAAAGGCCAAUCAAACCGGGAGAUAGCUGGUUCUCCCCGAAAGCUAUUUAGGUAGCGCCUCGUGAAUUCAUCUCCGGGGGUAGAGCACUGUUUCGGCAAGGGGGUCAUCCCGACUUACCAACCCGAUGCAAACUGCGAAUACCGGAGAAUGUUAUCACGGGAGACACACGGCGGGUGCUAACGUCCGUCGUGAAGAGGGAAACAACCCAGACCGCCAGCUAAGGUCCCAAAGUCAUGGUUAAGUGGGAAACGAUGUGGGAAGGCCCAGACAGCCAGGAUGUUGGCUUAGAAGCAGCCAUCAUUUAAAGAAAGCGUAAUAGCUCACUGGUCGAGUCGGCCUGCGCGGAAGAUGUAACGGGGCUAAACCAUGCACCGAAGCUGCGGCAGCGACACUAUGUGUUGUUGGGUAGGGGAGCGUUCUGUAAGCCUGUGAAGGUGUACUGUGAGGUAUGCUGGAGGUAUCAGAAGUGCGAAUGCUGACAUAAGUAACGAUAAAGCGGGUGAAAAGCCCGCUCGCCGGAAGACCAAGGGUUCCUGUCCAACGUUAAUCGGGGCAGGGUGAGUCGACCCCUAAGGCGAGGCCGAAAGGCGUAGUCGAUGGGAAACAGGUUAAUAUUCCUGUACUUGGUGUUACUGCGAAGGGGGGACGGAGAAGGCUAUGUUGGCCGGGCGACGGUUGUCCCGGUUUAAGCGUGUAGGCUGGUUUUCCAGGCAAAUCCGGAAAAUCAAGGCUGAGGCGUGAUGACGAGGCACUACGGUGCUGAAGCAACAAAUGCCCUGCUUCCAGGAAAAGCCUCUAAGCAUCAGGUAACAUCAAAUCGUACCCCAAACCGACACAGGUGGUCAGGUAGAGAAUACCAAGGCGCUUGAGAGAACUCGGGUGAAGGAACUAGGCAAAAUGGUGCCGUAACUUCGGGAGAAGGCACGCUGAUAUGUAGGUGAAGUCCCUCGCGGAUGGAGCUGAAAUCAGUCGAAGAUACCAGCUGGCUGCAACUGUUUAUUAAAAACACAGCACUGUGCAAACACGAAAGUGGACGUAUACGGUGUGACGCCUGCCCGGUGCCGGAAGGUUAAUUGAUGGGGUUAGCGCAAGCGAAGCUCUUGAUCGAAGCCCCGGUAAACGGCGGCCGUAACUAUAACGGUCCUAAGGUAGCGAAAUUCCUUGUCGGGUAAGUUCCGACCUGCACGAAUGGCGUAAUGAUGGCCAGGCUGUCUCCACCCGAGACUCAGUGAAAUUGAACUCGCUGUGAAGAUGCAGUGUACCCGCGGCAAGACGGAAAGACCCCGUGAACCUUUACUAUAGCUUGACACUGAACAUUGAGCCUUGAUGUGUAGGAUAGGUGGGAGGCUUUGAAGUGUGGACGCCAGUCUGCAUGGAGCCGACCUUGAAAUACCACCCUUUAAUGUUUGAUGUUCUAACGUUGACCCGUGAUCCGGGUUGCGGACAGUGUCUGGUGGGUAGUUUGACUGGGGCGGUCUCCUCCUAAAGAGUAACGGAGGAGCACGAAGGUUGGCUAAUCCUGGUCGGACAUCAGGAGGUUAGUGCAAUGGCAUAAGCCAGCUUGACUGCGAGCGUGACGGCGCGAGCAGGUGCGAAAGCAGGUCAUAGUGAUCCGGUGGUUCUGAAUGGAAGGGCCAUCGCUCAACGGAUAAAAGGUACUCCGGGGAUAACAGGCUGAUACCGCCCAAGAGUUCAUAUCGACGGCGGUGUUUGGCACCUCGAUGUCGGCUCAUCACAUCCUGGGGCUGAAGUAGGUCCCAAGGGUAUGGCUGUUCGCCAUUUAAAGUGGUACGCGAGCUGGGUUUAGAACGUCGUGAGACAGUUCGGUCCCUAUCUGCCGUGGGCGCUGGAGAACUGAGGGGGGCUGCUCCUAGUACGAGAGGACCGGAGUGGACGCAUCACUGGUGUUCGGGUUGUCAUGCCAAUGGCACUGCCCGGUAGCUAAAUGCGGAAGAGAUAAGUGCUGAAAGCAUCUAAGCACGAAACUUGCCCCGAGAUGAGUUCUCCCUGACCCUUUAAGGGUCCUGAAGGAACGUUGAAGACGACGACGUUGAUAGGCCGGGUGUGUAAGCGCAGCGAUGCGUUGAGCUAACCGGUACUAAUGAACCGUGAGGCUUAACCUU